rnacentral:rRNA from 1 species
AUUGAACGCUGGCGGCAGGCCUAACACAUGCAAGUCGAACGGUAACAGGAAGAAGCUUGCUUCUUUGCUGACGAGUGGCGGACGGGUGAGUAAUGUCUGGGAAACUGCCUGAUGGAGGGGGAUAACUACUGGAAACGGUAGCUAAUACCGCAUAACGUCGCAAGACCAAAGAGGGGGACCUUCGGGCCUCUUGCCAUCGGAUGUGCCCAGAUGGGAUUAGCUUGUUGGUGGGGUAACGGCUCACCAAGGCGACGAUCCCUAGCUGGUCUGAGAGGAUGACCAGCCACACUGGAACUGAGACACGGUCCAGACUCCUACGGGAGGCAGCAGUGGGGAAUAUUGCACAAUGGGCGCAAGCCUGAUGCAGCCAUGCCGCGUGUAUGAAGAAGGCCUUCGGGUUGUAAAGUACUUUCAGCGGGGAGGAAGGGAGUAAAGUUAAUACCUCUGCUCAUUGACGUUACCCGCAGAAGAAGCACCGGCUAACUCCGUG